rnacentral:rRNA from 1 species
AGUUACCAGCACGUUAUGGUGGGCACGUCUAAGGAGGACUGCCGGUGGCAAACCGGAGGAAGGUGGGGAUGACGUCAAGUCAUCAUGGCCCUUACGGCCUGGGCUACACACGUGCUACAAUGGUCGGUACAAAGGGUUGCCAAGCCGCGAGGUGGAGCUAAUCCCAUAAAACCGAUCGUAGUCCGGAUCGCAGUCUGCAACUCGACUGCGUGAAGUCGGAAUCGCUAGUAAUCGUGAAUCAGAAUGUCACGGUGAAUACGUUCCCGGGCCUU